UGCAUCCAUAGAAGGUUUACCUGUUACACUCCUACUGUGUUAUAUGGAACAAAAUACCUAUUGCUAUUUUUAUUCCCACUCACGCUCACAAUCACGCAGUUUAAAACGAUGUAGACAGCAUUUUAAUGGGCUUCUGGCAAGAGAGGCUAGAUCAGCUAUUUUCUGCAGGAAAGAUUCUGACUGAUCGAAAUCUCUAAAGUUCUGAAGUAGCAUUUAUGCCAAAAGCUCAUGAAAUACUACAGUUCUUAUUAUUUUUUGGUGGACUGCAGUGCAAUACCCCUGCGCUUGACAUCUACAUAUUUUUAAUUAGCUAGGAGCUUCUCACUUCCACUGUAAGGCCUCACCCCUGACUUGACCUUUUGAAGCUAAUCCAAAGUAAGUCCUGGUUUUCUCAAAAAAAAAAAAAACUGUUUAGAAUUUAUUAUCUACUAAUUUCACUUUGUGUUUAUGGUAAGGAUUAGGCAUUCUUUCAAUUAUUUCGGUACAUGUAUUAACAAGAACAGGCCUGGGACUGUCACUGCUAGCAUGUUAGCAUGCUAAUUUUAGGACGUAGCUCACAGCUAAAUGCUUACAAAACGACUGAAAAAUGACACACAAAAUAUAUUUUUUUUAUGUAACUUUUGUUUAUAUAAGAGGGUCAAGCAACCCACCAGAACAAAAUUAUAGCCACAUCCACCAACACCUCUGCUUUGGAGGCCGACAAGUCUGCUGGCUAGAUGUAGCACUCCCACUCUGAAAUCCACAAAAUCCCACACGCAUCCAGUCUUAGACAAGUGCACUCCCACUGUUUGGCUAUCUCCAGCUACUGAGGCGCUACAUUAUGUCUUUCUUCCUCUAUCCCACUGUACUGAAAUGCAGUUGUUGUUUUUUUUUAAAUAAAUGUCAAAUUUUAAUAGAAACGUGUCGCCUGAAUCCAAACAAAGUCAUCGCUCCACUUGAAGUGAACGGCUGAGAAUCUGCCAAGGCAUUUGCAAUAGUUUAUUGGGUCGAUAUCACUGCAUUCAAAGAGCUGCUUUUUCUUUGUUUAAUUGACCAUUAGACGGGGAAUUUGACAGAACUUCCACUGAAUUGAGUGAAUGAACGCACAGAAGCCACAGCUCACAAACGGGGCAGGGAGAUGGAGUUGGGGGACAUCAGGAUGCAGAGAGAGGGAGAGACAGAAGCAGACCAGCAGGUGAGAGACAGUAACACACAACAGUAGAUAUUUUAAUUCAAUGUUUGUGGCUGAAAAUGACAGGAGGAAAAAAAAAACAUUUUGGAUUCUUUGCCUCAGUCUGUGUGUUUCAACCUUUUUAGAGUCAUGGCUCAUGUUUGGCAAAUUACUGAAUGCAGGGCUGGAAAGUGAGACGGCACACUGAGUUAUCAGUGAGAAGCUAAGGCAGUGGUGCCCAAAGUCGGUCCUGGAGGGCCGGCAUCCUGUAUGUUUCAGUUCUCUCCCUGGUUUAACGCACCUGGUUCAAAUAAUGGCUCAGUAGAAGCCCUAAGAAGAACACUGACAUGCUGAAGAGGUUGUUACUACCACUGGGGAGAGAACGAGGACAGGCAGGGUGCCGGACCUCGAGGACCGACUCUGGGCACCACCGAGCUAAGGUGUUUGUUAGAUGUGAAAAAUAUCAUUUUUAUUCAUUUUUGUAGAUCAAACUGUUUCACUGAUGUAGAGAGUUGUUCAAGAAGAACAAAGAUUGUUUUUUUAGACUUUAGUUUUCUUGGUCAAACUGCUGUAUUGAGUGUAAAACUGCCGAAUCCUAUUUUAUGAGCUGUUUUUUACUUAAGGUUUUAGAAAGAGGCGGAACCAGUUCAAUUGCCAGUCAACAUAUGUAAAUGCAGUUUCAGCCAAUAAUCACAUGUAUCUUGACCAAUAAAAUAUAUCAGAAUCUGGUAGCUUGUGUGUGCUGCCAGAGUUUUUAGCUUGCUAGUUGCGAGGCAAAUGAUGAAGUGAGUGUUCAGUCCUGGAGUGACGGUCAUUUUGUUUGAUUAAAGAUGCAAGUCAUUUUGUUCAAGAGGAA